CUUGCCAGAACUCCAACCCUCACCACUCCUCUUGUGUAAUUUCAAAGCGCUUCUUCUAAACAGGAAACUUGAACCACCUGUUAAUGACUCAUCUACAAACAGAAGAUGGGUGAAGAUGCUCGCCACACCCAUAAGAUUUGAAUGACACGCGUCUUUGCCAGUCCUUGUUUGCAUGUGUCCACGGUCAGUCCCACAUUCUGAGGUGACAGGCAGGCUGGAUAAACCUAUGAGGAAGGCAAGAAGACACUGCCGUGCGGUUUGGACCGAAUAAACAGGAGUUGAACCGCACAGCUUGUACUUAGAGAGUCCAUAAUGAUCCAAGUGGAGCGCUAAAUGCUUGUGUUGUACAGAAUACAGCCCUAAAACGUGAUUCAUUUGCAACGCAUUAGCAAAUCUCUAAUAUUUACAGCAAUGUUUUUUUUUUAUUUUUAUUUUUUUAAUAAUAUCGAUUUGCAGAGGAUGAAGUGUGGACGAUUUUGCUGCAAGCCUGUCAACAAACCACAGGGCGCUCGUAAUUCCGCCUCAAACACUCACAGAGCUGAUACGAAGAGCCGCAGAAUCUUUAAUUUGUUAUCUCUUCCCUUGUUUCCGAGGAAGAGGCGGGGAGGGGAGAUGAAGAGAAGAGGGCUGGAGUCACCAGAGGGAGAGGGGAAGGGUGGGGGGAGAAAAGGCGGAACAAACCGGUGAGCUCGGAUACAAGCUGUAGCUUCUCGCCCGCACUGCAGAUUAACUCUUACCGCGCCGGGAAGACGCAGCUGGACUCGGAUCGGAUUGGGAAAGCUUCUUCCUUCCAAUGCUCACAUAACCACUCUUCAGCCUACAAUUACUCUCCUUGUGGAGCACAAGAGCUCCUCCUAAACUCAGGUCAUUCCUCAAGCUGCCACAUACAGAGCUACUGGACUGCAGCCAGACUCUGUGGGGACGGGACAAAACAAAGGGAUGCACGAGGGACACAUUGACUGAGAGAUGCGCUUCUGACCCUCAGGUCUCCUCUUUUGUAAAAGUUGAGCAAACAUCCCAAAUCACCACUUUCUCACAUAUGUUGACCACGGCUUACGGCGGCCACACAUUUUUGUGUGCGUGUUUGCUUCACAGCGUCUUGGCAAGUACCUAACCACAAGAGGGAGCAUCUGGUCUCGCCUCAUUCGCAGAGGGGAGCUGUAGAGCGCGGCACUUCCGUUUCCGCAUGCAGAACAUCCUCGAUCAAAACUUAGACAUGGCCACAGCGCUGCUCGCGGGCGAGAAGCUGAAGGAGCUCAUCCUGCCGGGCUCCUCUCAGGAUGAGAAGGGUGGGGCACUGGCUGGCCUCAUGGUGCAGCUCAAACUGGAGCUGCCCUUUGAUCGGGUCGUCACUAUAGGGACGGUCAUCAUCCCCAUCCUGCUGGUCACCCUUGUCUUCACAAGAAACUUUGCAGGUGGGUGGCUCGGGCCACUACAGGGGCGCUUGGCGCUAACGCAGCAACAAAGAUGUUUGAUUAACGAACAAAUGGUUUCAAGCAAACCUGUGUACCUUGCAAAGCAUUCAUAGGUGAUUUUCAACAACAAACUUCAAUACGUUUUGAUCGGAUUUUAUGUGGCAGAUCAAAACUAGUGCAUAGAAGACGGAGAGAAACGUAUAUAUUUUUCAAAA